rnacentral:snRNA from 1 species
AGAUGAGACAGGUGAGGACACUGCCAACCCACGGAUUGCCAGGUCCAUGUGGCUGCUCUGGCUGGCUUCAUGUUUUCUUCGUCACUCGCCACACUGUGAGGAAUCCCCCUGAACUUCUGUGCCUGGUCAGGGAGAACGAUAUUCCCAAAUAGAGCAGGACUGUUCUUCAAUCAAAAGGAAGCACUGACAGCGCUCCCCUGCAAGAAACUUUGUACCAGUUAAACCAUCACUGGCUAAUUUAAGUAGGAAAUGGGGAUUGUUAUCAGAGCAUUGGGAAUAUUGUUAGAGGAAAAUAUAUUUUUAA